rnacentral:rRNA from 1 species
AAUCCUACGGGGGGCAGCAGUGAGGGAUAUUGGUCAAUGGGGGAAACCCUGAACCAGCAACGCCGCGUGAGGGAAGACGGUUUUCGGAUUGUAAACCUCUGUCCUCUGUGAAGAUAAUGACGGUAGCAGAGGAGGAAGCUCCGGCUAACUACGUGCCAGCAGCAGCGGUAAUACGUAGGGAGCGAGCGUUGUCCGGAUUUACUGGGUGUAAAGGGUGCGUAGGCGGGGAAGGAAGUCAGAAGUGAAAUCCAUGGGCUUAAGCAA